UACGUAGGUGACCAGCGUUGUCCGGAUUUAUUGGGCGUAAAGCGCUCGCAGGUGGUUCGUCGCGUCGUGCGUGAAAGACCCCGGCUCAACUGGGGGAGGGUCGUGCGAUACGGGCGGACUGGAGGCCAGUAGGGGGAUGCGGAAUUCCGGGUGUAGUGGUGGAAUGCGUAGAGAUCCGGAGGAACACCAGCGGCGAAGGCGGCAUCCUGGACUGGUCCUGACACUCAGGAGCGAAAGCGUGGGGAGCGAGUCCGG
rnacentral:rRNA from 1 species